rnacentral:rRNA from 1 species
AGCGAACGCUGGCGGCAGGCUUAACACAUGCAAGUCGAGCGGGCCCUUCGGGGUCAGCGGCGGACGGGUGAGUAACGCGUGGGAACGUGCCUUCUGGUCUGGAAUAACCCUGGGAAACUAGGGCUAAUACCGGAUACGCCCUUUUGGGGAGAGGUUUACUGCCGGAAGAUCGGCCCGCGUCUGAUUAGCUAGUUGGUGGGGUAACGGCCUACCAAGGCGACGAUCAGUAGCUGGUCUGAGAGGAUGAUCAGCCACACUGGGACUGAGACACGGCCCAGACUCCUACGGGAGGCAGCAGUGGGGAAUAUUGGACAAUGGGCGCAAGCCUGAUCCAGCCAUGCCGCGUGAGUGAUGAAGGCCUUAGGGUUGUAAAGCUCUUUUAUCCGGGACGAUAAUGACGGUACCGGAGGAAUAAGCCCCGGCUAACUUCGUG